rnacentral:lncRNA from 1 species
GUGGGUGCGGUAGAUUUGGGGUGAUAGGGAAGAACCGAGUAGGGGCUUUGUAGGGGGUUGCGGAGGCAUGCGUGGGGGCGAGGGGGGAUGAGGGCAUCUAUGCUCGACCCCUGGGUCACUUGGCAGGCGAAGUGGUCGUCCUGGUGGUAAAGGAGCCGGCGGGGGGGUGAGGGUGCCGCGCGGGUGCGGCUGUCAGGGCGUCGGGUCCGGAGAGCCAGGGAGCGGAGGGCGCGGCCCCUGCCCCAGUUCUCGGCUGUUCUAGGCGGAUGCUCUAGAAUGAGUCCUGUUCCGAGGUGCGUGCGUGGGAGCGAGGGUCGGGGCCUCUCCGGCUCCCGGGCCGGGGUCUCCCGGUGCGGGGCGGGAUGUGGGGGGGAGCCCAGGGGCGAUGGGUGUGGAUUGCUCCGCGCGCGCCCGGGCUGUCUAGUGACUGCCGGGCCCUGGCGGGCACCGCGGGCCGCCACGCCGCCGCCGAGGCUCAGAAUGCUCUGCUGUUUGCUAGUCAAUCGUCUGUCCAGGAAGUCAUGAACGUCAAGAGGACGGCGUGAUCGGCUUUCACAUACGUAUACCCCCCACAGAGGCCCCCAGAUGGAGGACCCAGAAGGCCCCUCUGCCCCCUCCCUAGGGUAACCGCUAUUCCGGUUUUAUCAGGUUAGUCUUGCCUGCUUUUGAACGUCAUAUAUGAGCAAUCAUACAGUGUGUUCCUUCUGCGUCUGGAUUUUUUGCCGAAUUCACGUCGUCGUGCACAUCCAUAGUGAGGUCUUUUUCGUGGCUGCGUAAUAUUCCACUGAGUGAUAUACAGCAGCAUGCUGACCCACCCACCCACUGUUGUUUCCAGCUCGGACCCAUUAUAAGCAAAUCUGCUAUGAACAUUGCUUGUACGUGUGUUUUGGUGCCAUAAAUUCUCAUCUCUUCAAUCUUCUCCUUCCUGGCCCCCACUCCCCCCCACCUCCCUGGACUCAUCUAUUUUUUGCAGAGCUGCUGAGUGAGUUUUGGAAAUGAAAAUGAGGAUUCCUCCUCCUCCUCCACCUCGCUCCUCCUCCCCCUUCUCCUCCUCCUCCCCACCAGCAGGGGGGCAGCCUGGCAGUGGUCAGGGCCCCUCUGAGGACAAGUCCAAGUGAGGCCAGGAGACUGGUCACGUUAUGGAGAUUGAGCAAACCGGAGGUAAGGGGACCAGGUUUCUCAUUGCCAACCACAGAUAAUACUUCUCGGGGGGUCAAAGCCGAGAGUCAAGGAGAAACCCGGGAGGUGGGGUCCCGACAGCCGCGAGCCAUCCUGCGCCUGGGUCCUUUGCCACCAAGGACGUCCUUGAGACGAUUGUGGAACUUGAAAGGAAUCUUCUGGGCAUGGGGCACGUGGAGUUCCUUGUGCGACUCCUGCAAUUUCUCUCUAAAUUUGAAAUUCUUCGCAAAUAAAAAGCUGGAAAUAAAAAGCUAUGGAAAACCU